UAUCCAGAUCCUGAAAAAUUCCAUCUUCUCCACAAAGUUUUGAUCCAUUCAGCUUCACCGCCUCCCACUCUCUUCUCCAAAUUCCUAUUCCAUUUAUCUUUUACCCCUCACGGAUGACAGUUCUUUGUCUUAUGUUUUCCUUUGACUUAGAACUUUUGGAUUUUGGCUAUAGCAUUCCUGGGAGUUUUAUUUUGGAUUUUCUUUCCGGAGGUGAGUAGUAGAUUCUUUCUAUGUACAUUUUGCCUGUCUAUUUUCAUUGUAUCCUAAGGGAUUGGGG
rnacentral:lncRNA from 1 species